rnacentral:rRNA from 1 species
AUUGAACGCUGGCGGCAGGCCUAACACAUGCAAGUAGAGCGGAGCGGCGGACGGGUGAGUAAUGCCUAGGAAUCUGCCUGGUAGUGGGGGAUAACGUCCGGAAACGGGCGCUAAUACCGCAUACUAUCAGAUGAGCCUAGGUGGGAUUAGCUAGUUGGUGGGGUAAAGGACUACCAAGGCGACGAUCAGUAACGGGUCGGAGAGGAUGAUCAGUCACACGGGAACGGGAACACGGUCCAGACUCCUACGGGAGGCAGCAGUGGGGAAUAGUGGACAAUGGGCGAAAGCCGAAUCCAGCAAUGCCGCGUGUGUGAAGAAGGUCUUCGGAUUGGAAAGCACUUUGAGUUGGAAGGCGUUACCAACAGAAUAAGCACCGGCUAACUUCGUGCCAGCAGCCGCGGUAAUAC